GGCGGUGUGUUGCUCAGCCCUUUUUUGAUCUAUGUGUUGCUGGCCUUGGUGCUGACCGGUGCCGUGCGUCUACUGUUGCGCCUGACCCCGGUGGGGCGUUGGAUCUGGCAUGAAGCCUUGUUCGAUUGCGCAUUG
rnacentral:sRNA from 1 species